GAUUGAACUUUUGACCUGUUAGCCAUCCUCAAUAAAUGUUGUCCUUAUAAGAGUUGCCUUGAUCAUCGUGUCUUUUCACAGCAGUUAAACCCUAACUAAGACAACAGUGCAAUGGAAAGAUACAGAACUCUGUCCUUUUUUUUAUCUUUUUUUUUUUUUUCGGAGAGAAGAAUGAUUUUAUUGUUUUUGUUGUUAAAAAAAUAGAUUGACUUGUUUUAUUUAGGUAAAUUUUUGUCGGAUGUGCUCUUCUUACCUUGUGUGCAGUUCUGUUUUGUGUUUCCUAGAUUAGUAGCUCCAACUCUGAUCGCUGUGAUAAGCCCCUUCAAGGUUGCUGUGCCGUAAGAUGGAAAGUAGAGAAACAAAGGCGACAAUAUAAAAUGACAGUAACGGCUCUCGAUUCAGGGCCUAGUAUUUGUCAGGUCCUUUAUUGAGUAAAUAGUUUCUUCCUCCUUUUGUCCAAGGUGCUCUUUUCCAGGUGGGAUCUGACUUCCUGUUCAAUUUAGACUCUCCAAAUCUUGCUGCUGGAGAGCCUUCUGAGAGCAUCUGAUCUCAAGACAGGAAUGAAAGUCCGAGCCAGCCAAGACAGAUGGCCGUUCUCCAUGGCAACCUGCUGCUAAGCUCUGUCCUUCUGCCUCCUUGGGGAGAUUGCUGCAACCCAACUCAGGACGGGUAGUAAA
ensembl:sense_intronic Gm12701 predicted gene 12701